AGUUGCAACAUCCCCGUGGACUGGGUGACGGUUUUUUAGUGAACCGCCGCAGCGAAUCCACUGCAACU
rnacentral:sRNA from 1 species